rnacentral:rRNA from 1 species
ANUAGUAGGUCNNNAACCCCACCCNGAGUAGUAAAAGUCUUAUGCUCCAAACUCAAAGAAUUUGGCGGCGUACUACCUAACCAGAGGAACCUGCCCCAUAAUCGAUGACCCACGAAAUGUCUAACCCUGUCUUAAAGCUUGUAUACCGCCGUYUAGGGUACAUUUAAAAAUUUACUCAAAUUUAAUUUAUUAAAUAAAUCAGGUCAAGGUGCAGCCAAUGGCGGGGAUGGGAGGUGGGUUACAUUAACUAAUACGUGGAUAGGGAAACUUACACGCCCCUUAAAAUUGGAUUUGUAAGUAAGUUUACUUUAAUAAACUGAUUAAGCC